GCCUUCGCUCUCUGAGUCUUGUAUUGGAAUGAGUACAAUGUAAAUACCUUAACGAGGAACAAUUGGAGGGCAAGUCUGGUGCCAGCAGCCGCGGUAAUUCCAGCUCCAAUAGCGUAUAUUAAAGUUGUUGCAGUUAAAAAGCUCGUAGUUGAAUUUUGGGUCCGGUUGGCCGGUCUGCCUCGCGGCAUGUACUGGUUGACUGGGCUCCUCUUUUUGGGGAUCCGGGCUGCCCUUUAGUGGGUGGUCCGGGGAACCAAGACUUUUACUGUGAAAAAAUUAGAGUGUUCAAAGCAGGCUUUUGCUUGUAUAGGUUAGCAUGGAAUAAUAGAAUAGGACCUUGGUUCUAUUUUGUUGGUUUGGGAACCAAAGUAAUGAUUAAGAGGGACAGUUGGGGGCAUUAGUAUUUCAGGGCUAGAGGUGAAAAA
rnacentral:rRNA from 1 species